GCGCCCAUAGCUCAGCGGACAGAGCGGUUGCUUGCGGAGCAACAGGCCGUAGGUUCAAUUCCUACUGGGCGCGCCA
rnacentral:tRNA from 1 species